GUGGGGAAUAUUCCGCAAUGGACGAAAGUCUGACGGAGCAACGCCGCGUGAGUGAUGAAGGUUUUCGGACUGUAAAGCUCUGUUGUUUAGGACGAAAGUGCCUGUUGCAAAUAGUUACAGGUAUUGACGGUACUGAACGAGGAAGCCACGGCUAACUACGUGCCAGCAGCCGCGGUAAUACGUAGGUGGCAAGCGUUGUCCGGAAUUAUUGGGCGUAAAGAGCAUGUAGGCGGGAAUCUAAGUCUGUUGUGAAAAUGCGGGGCUCAACCCCGUAUUGCGAUGGAAACUGGGUUUCUUGAGUGCAGGAGAGGAAAGGGGAAUUCCCAGUGUAGCGGUGAAAUGCGUAGAUAUUGGGAGGAACACCAGUGGCGAAGGCGACUCACUGGCCCGUUACUGACGCUGAGGCGCGAAAGCGUGGGGAGCAAACAGGAUUAGAUACCCGAGUAGUCC
rnacentral:rRNA from 1 species